rnacentral:pre_miRNA from 1 species
UUGAAGAACUCGCCUAGGUCAGUCUCUGUCUUUCUUCCUUUCACAGUUGGCUUCGGAAGAGCGGCAGUAGACUGACUCGGCGCCUCAUUUUUAGCCUCCUUCU